CCUGGUCGUCUCGUCGCCGCCGGUGCUACUCCGGCGGAUCUCGCCCUGUUCCAAGCCACGACCUUGUGCGAACAAGCACUUCAGGAUACUCUGCUCCGGCGGUUAGAGGUCGACCUCGCCCCGUACUUCUUCCUACCCCAACCCGCCAUUCUCCACACGUUGCGCCCUACUCCUGUGCGGCUAGCUCGGCCACCCACCGACGCCAGAGAAGAAAUCUUGGGUCUUAAGAUCGGAGCUUGUCGACUAGUGCUAGGCUCGGCCUCCGUUGUUCUGCUGUUGCAUCUCAAUCUGAAAUGCAGGGAAGUAGUAUUUUACAUAUGUCAUGGCCUACUGGAGUGUCCGAACAAUAGCUGUUGAGCUCUUUUCAGCAAAAAAAAAAGGUUUGUGUUCGUCUCUUUCUUAGGUCAGUUGUGGCAAAUGGCGUACAAAGCUGGCAUAAUGAUUUCCUUUCUUCUCAAUAUAUGAUGUUUGAUAUAUGUUUCUAACAGACACAUAUUUAUUUGGUGUGCUUAACUAGAUGGAUUGAACUGAUGAAGUUUAUAUAGAGUCGCCUUGAGAAAAAAAAGUUUAUAUAGAGUCCAUGGAGGUUGUCAUCUAUUCCAGCAGAUGAAGGUCGAUUAGCAAGUCACUACAAAAGGAAGGCAAGAUCAUAGAUCUUUUCUGUCAUCCAUCAAUCCUUAAUACUUGGUUUUCCUGGAAAUGUAGUAAAAACGAUCUAUGUAUGCCUCUUGUGUUGUGUUCUCAUGUACUUGAAUACUCAAAUGCUUGUUGAGAUAUAAUGUACCAUCAGUCCUUAAUACGCGGUCUACCUGGGAAUGUACUACAAAAGAUCUGUGUAUGCCUUUUGUGUUG